GUUGAAGAAACAUGGCUGCGCCCUUGUGCAGUUAGAUCAUGCUGAGGAUAUUCACUGUCAUCUCAGUGUAUAAACGUGUUUAAACAGCAGAGAUCACAUUAAUAUCAGUGGAUGAAAAAUCCUUUACCAUCUGAUUCAGUGUGCCACUUCUUCAGAAAUCUCAAAUGUUGGUAAGAAGACUGCGCGUUUUACGGAAAUCUCUAUUCAACUGCGGCGUUCAGGCCGCUGACAUCCACACCCAACUUUAUGAUGUCAUCGUGGUUGGCGGCGGUCACGCCGGGACUGAAGCUGCAGCAGCCGCCAGCCGAGUCGGUGCAAACACACUGCUCAUCACACAGAAAAUACAAACUAUCGGGGCGCUGUCGUGUAACCCGUCACUGGGGGGUGUCGGCAAAGGUCAUCUUGUGAAGGAGAUCGAUGCUCUGGAUGGUGUGAUGGGACGAGCUGGGGACUGGGCCGGGAUUCACUUCUCCAUCCUCAACCGCAGUAAGGGGCCUGCAGUGUGGGGCCCCAGAGCCCAGCUGGACCGCCAACGCUAUAGACACUUCAUACAGUCAGAGCUGUUGUCUACACCCAUGCUGACUGUCAUAGAGGGGUCUGUGGAGGACCUGUUGGUGUCUGCGGCUGACCCUGAAAAACCAGGAAGACAUAAAGUUGAUGGAAUACGAUUGGCUCAUGGUGGAGGUGAAGUCCAUUCCCGCUCUGUGGUUCUGACCACUGGUACCUUCCUCUCCGGUUCUCUCUUCAUGGGGCAGAACUCUUCUCCAGGGGGGCGGAUAGGUGAUCCCCCGUCCUGUGCAGGUCUUUCUCAUAGUCUGAAAGAGAUUUUGGGAUUGAAGGUUGGCAGACUCCGGACCGGUACGCCUCCUCGAAUCCUCAAGGACACAGUCGACUUCUCUCUAACUGAUACUCGUUUACCAGACUCAAAACCCACUCCAUUCAGCUUCAUGAAUACACACACACACUGCAAGCCUGAAGAGCAGCUUCCAUGUUAUUUGACGUACACCACUGCUGGAGUAGAGCGAAUGGUGAGAGAGAGCAUUCAAAACAAUUCGCACAUCCAGCAAGACACUAAAGGACCCAGGUACUGCCCCUCCAUUGAGUCAAAGGUGCUGCGGUUUCCAGGACGACAGCACCAGGUGUGGCUGGAACCAGAAGGUCUGACCUCUGACCUCAUGUACCCUCAGGGUUUGUCCAUGACGAUGCCCCCUGACAAUCAGCUUUGUCUCAUCAGGGAGAUCCCUGGACUGCAACGCGCUGAGAUUCAAACUCCAGGUUACGGGGUGCAGUAUGACUUUGUUUGUCCGACUCAACUGUUCCCGUGGCUGCAGGUGAAGAAUGCUCAAGGUCUAUUUCUGGCUGGACAGAUCAAUGGCACCACAGGAUACGAGGAAGCAGCCGCACAGGGUUUGUGGGCAGGGCUGAAUGCGGGCAGGACGUCUCUCUCUCUGCGCCCACUGUCUCUCUCUCGCACUCAUAGUUAUAUUGGGGUUCUGAUUGAUGAUCUGGUCGGUCGUGGAGUGACAGAGCCGUACCGCAUGUUCACGAGCAGAGCUGAGUUCAGAACGUCACUCAGACCCGACAACGCUGACCUGAGACUCACGCUCAGAGGGUUUGAGGAGAUGGGCUGUGUGUCUGAGCAGCGUUACAACGAAGCUCUUCGUGUUCGUAAGAGUCUGAAUGAGGCUUUAUCUGCUCUGCAGUCGGUCUCCAUGUCUGCCAGUCGCUGGAGAGACAAACUGGGAGAUUUCAACAUCAGCGAGACCAAGAGCACCAAUCUUAAAGGCAGAAGAGGUUGGAUAAAUAUAAAAAAGACUAAACUGUGUAUUGCACAUAGUUAUUGCUCAAUGGGGCAAUUUAACUGUUCAUGAGAUGGAUAGCCUGAGGGAAAAAACUGUUCCUGUGCCUGACAGUUCUGAUGCUCAGAGCUCUGAAGCGUCGGCCAGAAGGCAACAGUUCAAAAAGGUAAUGGGCAGGGUGAGUGGGGUCCAGAGUUAUUUUUUCCAGCCUUUAUCCUCAUUCUGGAAGUGUAUAGUUCUUGAAGGGGGGCAGGGGGCAACCAAUAAUCCUCUCAGCAGUCCGAACUGUCCUUUGUAGUCUUCUGAUGUCUGAUUUCGUAGCUGAACCAAACCAGACAGUUAUUGAAGUGCAGAGGACAGACUUAGUGACAGCUGAGUAGAACUGUAUCAGCAGCACCUGUGGCAGGUUGAACUUCCUCAGCUGGUGAAGGAAGUACAACCUCUGCUGGGCCUUUUUCACAAUGGAGUCAAUGUGUGUCUCCCACUUCAGGUCCUGUGAGAUGGUAGUGCCCAGGAACCUGAAUGACUCCACUGCUGCCUCAGUGCUGUUUAGAAUGGUGAGGGGGGUCAGUGCUGGGGUGUUCCUCCUAAAGUCCACAGUCAUCUCCACUGUUUUGAGCGUGUUCAGCUAAAGGUUGUUUUGACUGCACCAGACAGCCAGCUGUUCAACCUCCCUUCUGUAUGCAGACUCAUCGUCAUCUCGGAUAAGGCUAAUGACAGUGGUGUCGUCUGCAAACUUCAGGAGCUUGACAGAGGGGUCCUUGGCGAUGCAGUCAUUGGUGUAGAGGGAGAAGAGUAGUGGGGAGAGCACACAACCCUGGGGGGGCACCAGUGCUGAUUGUACAGGUGCUGGAAGUGAGUUUCCCCUGUCUCACAAGCUGCUGCCUGUCUGUCAGAAAGCUGGUAAUCCACUGACAGAUAGACAUGGGAACAGAGAGUUGGUGUAAUUUAUUCUGGAGUAUAGCUGGGAUGAUGGUGUUGAAAGCUGAACUGAAGUCCACAAAAAGGAUACUUGCAUAUGUCCCUGGUCUGUCCAGAUGUUGCAGGACAUGAUGCAAUCCCAUGUUGACUGCAUCCACAGACCUGUUUGCUCUAAGCAAAUUGAAGCGGAUCUAGAAAGUGUCCAGUGAUGUUCUUCAGGAAUAAUGAUUGAGCGUUUGAAGCAGCAUGGGACUUCACUGCUCCAGUGAUCUAUUGAAGAUCUGUGUGAAGAUGGGGGCCAGCUGGUUAGCACAGGAUCGAAGACACGCUGGUGAGACGCCAUCUAGGCCUGAAG